GACGAACGCUGGCGGCAUGCCUAAUACAUGCAAGUCGAACGAACCAAACCAUUGAUUGGAGCUUGCUCCUUGAUUUGGACCUUGGUGAGUGGCGGACGGGUGAGUAACACGUGGGUAACCUGCCCAAAAGUGGGGGAUAACAUCUGGAAACAGGUGCUAAUACCGCAUAACAACUACUUUCACAUGAUCGUAGCUUGAAAGAUGGCUCUGCUAUCGCUUUUGGAUGGACCCGCGGCGUAUUAGCUAGUUGGUGAGGUAACGGCUCACCAAGGCAAUGAUACGUAGCCGACCUGAGAGGGUAAUCGGCCACAUUGGGACUGAGACACGGCCCAAACUCCUACGGGAGGCAGCAGUAGGGAAUCUUCCACAAUGGGCGAAAGCCUGAUGGAGCAAUGCCGCGUGAGUGAAGAAGGUUUUCGGAUCGUAAAACUCUGUUGUUGAAGAAGAACAUGCGUGAGAGUAACUGUUCACGUACUGACGGUAUUCAACCAGAAAGCCACGGCUAACUACGUGCCAGCAGCCGCGGUAAUACGUAGGUGGCAAGCGUUGUCCGGAUUUAUUGGGCGUACGUAAGAGAAUGUAGGCGGUUUAUUAAGUUUGAAGUGAAAGCCCUCGGCUCAACCGAGGAAGUGCUUCGAAAACUGGUAAACUUGAGUGCAGAAGAGGAAAGUGGAACUCCAUGUGUAGCGGUGGAAUGCGUAGAUAUAUGGAAGAACACCAGUGGCGAAGGCGGCUUUCUGGUCUGUAACUGACGCUGAGAUUCGAAAGCAUGGGUAGCAAACAGGAUUAGAUACCCUGGUAGUCCAUGCCGUAAACGAUGAGUGCUAAGUGUUGGAGGGUUUCCGCCCUUCAGUGCUGCAGCUAACGCAUUAAGCACUCCGCCUGGGGAGUACGAUCGCAAGAUUGAAACUCAAAGGAAUUGACGGGGGCCCGCACAAGCGGUGGAGCAUGUGGUUUAAUUCGAAGCAACGCGAAGAACCUUACCAGGUCUUGACAUACCAUGAAAAGCUUAGAGAUAAGUCUUUCCCUUCGGGGACAUGGAUACAGGUGGUGCAUGGUUGUCGUCAGCUCGUGUCGUGAGAUGUUGGGUUAAGUCCCGCAACGAGCGCAACCCUUAUUAUCAGUUGCCAGCAUUUAGUUGGGCACUCUGGUGAGACUGCCGGUGACAAACCGGAGGAAGGUGGGGACGACGUCAAAUCAUCAUGCCCCUUAUGACCUGGGCUACACACGUGCUACAAUGGUCGGUACAACGUGCUGCGAACUCGCGAGGGUAAGCAAAUCACUUAAAACCGAUCUCAGUUCGGAUUGUAGGCUGCAACUCGCCUACAUGAAGCUGGAAUCGCUAGUAAUCGCGGAUCAGCAUGCCGCGGUGAAUACGUUCCCGGGCCUUGUACACACCGCCCGUCACACCAUGAGAGUUUGUAACACCCAAAGCCGGUGGGGUAACCCUUCGGGGAGCUAGCCGUCUAAGGUGGGACAAAUGAUUAGGGUG
rnacentral:rRNA from 1 species